rnacentral:piRNA from 1 species
UGCCACGUUAGCUUAUCGUUAGCUUAUC